rnacentral:rRNA from 1 species
UCCCAGACUCCUACGGGAGGCAGCAGUGGGGAAUAUUGCACAGUGGGGGAAACCCUGAUGCAGCGACGCCGCGUGAGCGAUGAAGUAUUUCGGUAUGUAAAGCUCUAUCAGCAGGGAAGAAAAUGACGGUACCUGACUAAGAAGCCCCGGCUAACUACGUGCCAGCAGCCGCGGUAAUACGUAGGGGGCAAGCGUUAUCCGGAUUUACUGGGUGUAAAGGGAGCGCAGACGGCAUGGCAAGCCAGAUGUGAAAUACCGGGGCUCAACCCCGGGACUGCAUUUGGAACUGUUAAGCUGGAGUGUCGGAGAGGCAGGCGGAAUUCCUAGUGUAGCGGUGAAAUGCGUAGAUAUUAGGAGGAACACCAGUGGCGAAGGCGGCCUGCUGGACGAUAACUGACGUUGAGGCUCGAAAGCGUGGGGAGCAAACAGGAUUAGAUACCCCCGUA